rnacentral:misc_RNA from 1 species
AGCAGCCGCGGUAAUCCCAGCUCCAAUAGCGUAUAUUAAAGUUGUUGCAGUUAAAAAGCUCGUAGUUGAAUUUCGGGAUCAAUACGUCGGUCGUGCUUCGGUACGUACUGGCGUAAUUGAUUUCUCCCUUCUGACGAACCAUGAUGUCAUUAACUUGGUGUCAUGGGAAAUCAGGACUGUUACUUUGAAAAAAUUAGAGUGUUUAAAGCAGGCUCACGCUUGAAUACAUUAGCAUGGAAUAAUGAAAUAGGACGUUCGAUCCUAUUUUGUUGGUUUUUAGGAUCAACGUAAUGAUUAAUAGGGAUAGUUGGGGGCAUUAGUAUUCAAUUGUCAGAGGUGAAAUUCUUGGAUUUAUUGAAGACUAACUACUGCGAAAGCAUUUGCCAAGGAUGUUUUCAUUAAUCAAGAACGAAAGUUAGGGGAUCGAAGACGAUCAGAUACCGUCGUAGUCUUAACCAUAAACUAUGCCGACUAGGGAUCGGAUGAUGUUAAUUUUUUAAUGACUCAUUCGGCGCCUUAC